GAUGAACGCUGGCGGCGUGCCUAAUGCAUGCAAGUCGAGCGAACAGACGAGGAGCUUGCUCCUCUGACGUUAGCGGCGGACGGGUGAGUAACACGUGGAUAACCUACCUAUAAGACUGGGAUAACUUCGGGAAACCGGAGCUAAUACCGGAUAAUAUAUUGAACCGCAUGGUUCAAUAGUGAAAGACGGUUUUGCUGUCACUUAUAGAUGGAUCCGCGCCGCAUUAGCUAGUUGGUAAGGUAACGGCUUACCAAGGCGACGAUGCGUAGCCGACCUGAGAGGGUGAUCGGCCACACUGGAACUGAGACACGGUCCAGACUCCUACGGGAGGCAGCGGUAGGGAAUCUUCCGCAAUGGGCGAAAGCCUGACGGAGCAACGCCGCGUGAGUGAUGAAGGUCUUCGGAUCGUAAAACUCUGUUAUUAGGGAAGAACAAAUGUGUAAGUAACUAUGCACGUCUUGACGGUACCUAAUCAGAAAGCCACGGCUAACUACGUG
rnacentral:rRNA from 1 species